UGCAGACAACUGAAUUGUCCUUUGGCAAGAUAUGUUACAAAAUUGAAAGAUAUGUUUAAAUGCUCAAGUUUCAUGACAAAAUCAUGCAAAGUUUCAUUUGGGCAAAUAUUGAAAACUUUUAUUUUAUUAAAUGAUAAAUCUAAAUAUGCUAAGUUUUUUAAUUUUCUUGAUUGAUUGUUAUGUAUUGCUUUCAAUGAAUUAUGUGAUAAAUCAACUUUUUUCAAAUUUAAGCACGUGUCCGUGUAUGUAUCAAAUUCAAACACUGAAUUAUAUCCUAAUAUAAGCUCUGUCACGUUCAUACAAGAAGAACACUUACAGAGUUCCACUGAAUUAAAGUAUAUAUUUGUUAAGAAAAGUGUUUUAGUCAUUUUAAUUCCUGAUUGGAAAAGUUGCUCAAUGCGAAUCGGAGUUUUGUCAGCUUUAAAAAGGGACAAGUAUGGAAAGUUACACAAAGAAUUAUUCUCGAUAGACUGUAUAAAGUUUUCGCUUAGAUCAAGGACGCUUAUGUUAAAAUCCACGUAUUGUUCACGGUUUGUAGGAUAGUCUGAGUAUAAACAGUCUUCUUCCCUUAGGAUGUAAAUGUUAUUUUUGAUUAUUGAUAGUUUUUGUAAUGUUUUUAGUUUUCUUAAGGAUUUGGUUACUGUUGACAAGAAACUGAUGUGAUUAUGUUCCAAUAUCAGAUGUUCUAGAUGAUUAAGAUGGUUAAAGAUUGAUGUAUCCAAUGCAGAAAACUGUAUACCAAAUAAUUUGAGAUCCAAAAGAUUGUUUAGACCAUCAAAAGUACCUUCAUGAACUGUAAUAGUGGCAGAAGUGUUUUCUAAUUCUAUCCAUAGAGUAGAGAGUUGAGGUAAUCCUGAAAAGGCUUUGGGUAAAAGCUCAAAUACCCCAGUGACAUACAGUGCUUGGAGGUUCUUCAAUCGAGAAAACGAUGCUGUUUCAAUUUUGGAUCCCUUAUAACUUGUUAGACAAAGCCAGUCGGUUUCCAGAGGAACUUCUGACAAGGAUUCAUUGAGGGCUUCUAUCUUAUUACAAUGUACACCGAUUUUAUAAUCCAGAAGUUCAAAUUUAUCACAUUCAUUGAAUGUUAAAUUUAUGUCCGACUUAAAAUAUUUUCUUUCCAGCACUUGGCAUUUCACUCUCAGCACACACAGGCAAAAAGGGCAGGUGAAAAUUAUGUAGGUAAAACAUGGCAAAACGAGACACAAGAUGUCCAUGAGUAGAUGUUUACCAAAGGAUCUUCAAAAUGUAUGUGAAUGUAAUUGUACUCUAAAUAGAGUUUUGACAUUUU